AUUGAACGCUGGCGGCAGGCUUAACACAUGCAAGUCGAGCGGAGAGAGGUAGCUUGCUACUGAUCUUAGCGGCGGACGGGUGAGUAAUGCUUAGGAAUCUGCCUAUUAGUGGGGGACAACAUUUCGAAAGGAAUGCUAAUACCGCAUACGUCCUACGGGAGAAAGCAGGGGAUCUUCGGACCUUGCGCUAAUAGAUGAGCCUAAGUCGGAUUAGCUAGUUGGUGGGGUAAAGGCCUACCAAGGCGACGAUCUGUAGCGGGUCUGAGAGGAUGAUCCGCCACACUGGGACUGAGACACGGCCCAGACUCCUACGGGAGGCAGCAGUGGGGAAUAUUGGACAAUGGGGGGAACCCUGAUCUAGCCAUGCCGCGUGUGUGAAGAAGGCCUUAUGGUUGUAAAGCACUUUAAGCGAGGAGGAGGCUACUUUAGUUAAUACCUAGAGAUAGUGGACGUUACUCGCAGAAUAAGCACCGGCUAACUCUGUGCCAGCAGCCGCCGUAA
rnacentral:rRNA from 1 species